rnacentral:tRNA from 1 species
GGUGCAGUAGCUCACCGACAGAGCGUUCGCCUGAUAUAUGAAAAGACCUGGGUUAGACUUCCGGCUGCUUCC